GACGAACGCUGGCGGCGUGCUUAACACAUGCAAGUCGAACGGAAAGGCCUGCUUUCCCUUGUGGAUUGCGGGUACUCGAGUGGCGAACGGGUGAGUAACACGUGAGUGAUCUGCCCCCAACUUGGGUAUAAGCCUGGGAAACUGGGUCUAAUUCCCGAUAGGACUGCAGGGUGGUGCCUGUGGUGGAAAACGAUUUUCUAGUGGUUGGGGAUGAGCUCGCGGCCUAUCAGCUUGUUGGUGGGGUAAUGGCCUACCAAGGCGGCGACGGGUAGCCGGCCUGAGAGGGUGGACGGCCACAUUGGGACUGAGAUACGGCCCAGACUCCUACGGGAGGCAGCAGUGGGGAAUAUUGCACAAUGAGCGGAAGCCUGAUGCAGCGACGCCGCGUGGGGGAUGACGGCCUUCGGGUUGUAAACUCCUUUCGACCGCGAGGAAGCCACCUGGUUGGAAGGGUGGUGACGGUAGUGGUAGAAGAAGCACCGGCUAACUACGUG
rnacentral:rRNA from 1 species